GUGGGAAGUCAUCUGGACAAGCUUGGAUCCAAUCUGAUGACAUUCCAAGUUCCUCCUGGCGUCUUCAAAAGAACGGCCCAAUAUCAUGUCCACGGUGGAUAUAUUCAUUUCAUCAACCUUUGCUCCGACCACAGUGCAUGACCCCCAGCCUACGACGGUGCAGUCUACAGCUGCUUUCUGCAAUGUCAAACAAAAGAUUACCCGGCCAACAGUUAGAAUGUAUUCUGCCUGCUAUGCCUGCACUUGCUGAGAUUGUGAGGCCGUGGAUUGGAGUUUUCUUAAUUGCCGAGUCACCACGUGGUCUUUAAGAAUAGCCCAAGAGAAUUGCCUAGACAUAAGAGAUCCCAGAAGAGCGAGCCCGUGGAAGUAUGGGAUAUGGCUGCCAUCUUGGAGGCCUGAACGCACAGAGUACGCCGGCAUGGGGAAAGCGCUCACGUGACUCGGACUUGGUCUGACUACGCCUUUGAGGGAGUCAUGCGCGGGUCUUCUGUGAGCUGAUAACUGUUGGAAUCUUUAGAGAUCCCUAAGGGACCACACAUUCUCCCGCCAUCAGCCCGUUCAGGUGAGGUGAUACCGAUGGGAGAGUCACCCAAGUUGGCCUUGUGCUGUGUAGACUUUUUCAGCUUCCAAAAUGUAAGGUAAAUUACCCUCUUCUCCUAAUAGGCACCCCAAACACAGGUAGUUCAUGACAAUAGCAUAAAACAAACCAGUAGAAACCACAUCAGUGAGCUUUGAUGGAAAGUUAGCAUGGCUGAGGGAGUGGGUGGUGACCUACAGCAGAGGUUCUUCUCUGUCUGCCUUUGCAAAUAUUAAGAAGAACAUCUACUGCUAUAAACAUGGCUCAUUUCCCCUUGCUAUUUUGGUGAUUA
rnacentral:sRNA from 1 species